rnacentral:lncRNA from 12 species
UAGUUUCUACAGCUGUUAACAGUUCUCAGAAGAAAGGCAGUAUUAUUCAUCGGUAUUUAAAAUGUGCAUGACUUGCAUUGCACAGAAGUCAGAUUGGGAGAAUGUCAAAUUUUUUUUUCUAAAAUUCUGCCAGGAAAGUCUUCAAUAACUGGAGAAAUUCUUUUCACUGGUGAAAUCAACAUGCAGCACAUUGUGUUAUUAUACUUGCUUGUAGCUCACCAUGAAAGUUGUCUUUGUAUGCGUGGAUGUACGGCUUGUACUGUUUUGUUUUUAUUUAUUCUGCAUUCUUUAUUAUAAUGUUCUUUCCUUUUUUCCAGACUAAAAAGAUUGUUAUUGAGCCUUCCACAAAGCUGAAAUAAUGCUGUAUGUUAAAAAAAUGUUAACAAUUCGAAGAAGUUAUAAAAAUUUAUAAGUUGACUGAAUACUUUGGAAAUUUCUGCAUAUUUUAAUAUAAAUAGGUGCUGGCAGCAUGUGGAACUGAAAGCAGUGAAAGUCCGAAGGACUAGGGCACCAGAGGAGGUCAUGAGGAGCUGUCAUGCCUUAUAAGCCCUGUGGAAAGAGAAAGGAAGAAUGAUUCAUUGGUUGAUGAAAGCCUCUGUAGGUAAAGUUGUAUUUAAUCUCUGGACCAGCUCUCUUGUUCUGCAGCACAGGUUCAUCCCCUUUGUGCUGCAGCUCUUGGUCACCCCAUCCAGCAUGGACAAAAAGGCUGCAUAGC